UUUAAAUCAAUUAAACCAAGCAAUCUCAUUAAAGUAAACCAACAAUAUUAACCAGCGGAAGACUUAACCAAAAAUCCAAUAAAACAAUUCCAUUAAACCAACAAGUUCAACCAAACAUUAUUCCAAAACAUAAUCAUCCUAACAUGUUUCUAAAUUCCAUUCUAACACCCUAACAAAUCCAACAAUAAUCUAAAGCACCAAUGAGUGCCUAGAUCAUCUUCCUCUCCUCGCCAUGAUUCCACGGAUCACACUUUGCUUUUACCUGCAUCAAAGAAAGAGAUGCAUAAGUAUUUCAUAAAUACUUAGUGAGGGCGAUCCUCCCAUAUACGAGCUAUACACACAAGCAAUGAGAUAACACCCACAUAUAUAACAAAAACAAACCAUCCAGCAAGCUAAACAUCCAAUAACACAUCCAGUUCACCUACAAAUCAUCACACAACAAGUCACUCAAUCCCAAUCGCUUAGAUAAGCUCAUGGUCACACACUCACCUUAACAAGGUGACUUGAAUUACAAAAACAACCAGGAAAUACUCUCUUCGUGACUGCAACAGCCAAACAACACCCUACAACAAACCACACAAACACAAAUCUCUAAGAACCAAAAGGACAGAAACAGCGAAAAAACUACAGCCGCAGAAACGAAGCCCUAAAACAUAAACUAACCGUUAACUUCUUAAUCCCUACGGUGAAAAGCACGAUCCAGACGUCACGAAGCCCCCCACAAAAUUUGGUGCCGAUCGGAGAAACGAUGAAACCACGAUCGCACUUACAAACUCCGCUGAUCCCAGUUCGCAACAGAGAAAACGCGUCUCACCAAACUGCAUAUAACUCACUGAGUAUUAAUCCGAAUUCACUUCUGUAAAAAGGAGAAUCAACGUACACGCCUUAAGAACAAACCUACCAAAAUUCAUUACCUUUCGAUAAGAUUUGAUACGUCGUAACUCUAUUCUACCAGGACGUGACGAAUCUGCUUCUCUUGCCUUAAACACCAAAGCAAAGCUAACACUCUCCUUUUCACAAGUAAACUUCUCCUUCUCUUUUUCUCAACUCAACUCUCAGAAACA
rnacentral:lncRNA from 1 species